rnacentral:misc_RNA from 1 species
GUAUUUAUUCUCUAGUGUAUAUCUUUAUGGUAUUACUGGGGAGAUAUGAAGUUCCGACCACUUUGGUGGGUUCUUUUAAAUAGAUUGCUACUAGUAAUAUGAAAAUGCUUGACAUUUCUCUAUAUCUAUUAGAAAAGUAUGUGUAUGGAACUGUGGUUUCUCAUAAUGCCUAUUACAGUAGAGGAGACUUGGAGUUUUCAUAUGAACAGUUUAGCCCAUACCUAUUAAAGGCGAAAGCCUUGAA